GAUGAACGCUGGCGGCGUGCCUAAUACAUGCAAGUCGAGCGAACAGACGAGGAGCUUGCUCCUCUGACGUUAGCGGCGGACGGGUGAGUAACACGUGGAUAACCUACCUAUAAGACUGGGAUAACUUCGGGAAACCGGAGCUAAUACCGGAUAAUAUAUUGAACCGCAUGGUUCAAUAGUGAAAGACGGUUUUGCUGUCACUUAUAGAUGGAUCCGCGCCGCAUUAGCUAGUUGGUAAGGUAACGGCUUACCAAGGCGACGAUGCGUAGCCGACCUGAGAGGGUGAUCGGCCACACUGGAACUGAGACACGGUCCAGACUCCUACGGGAGGCAGCAGUAGGGAAUCUUCCGCAAUGGGCGAAAGCCUGACGGAGCAACGCCGCGUGAGUGAUGAAGGUCUUCGGAUCGUAAAACUCUGUUAUUAGGGAAGAACAAAUGUGUAAGUAACUAUGCACGUCUUGACGAUACCUAAUCAGAAAGCCACGGCUAACUACGUG
rnacentral:rRNA from 1 species